rnacentral:rRNA from 1 species
ACUCCUACGGGAGGCAGCAGUGGGGAAUGUUGGACAAUGGGCGCAAGCCUGAUCCAGCCAUGGCGCGUGAGUGAUGAAGGGCCUAGGGUUGUAAAGCUCUUUUGUGCGGGAAGAUAAUGACGGUAACGCAAGAAUAAGCCCCGGGUAACUUCGUGCCAGCAGCCGCGGUAAU